GACGAACGCUGGCGGCGUGCUUAACACAUGCAAGUCGAACGGAAAGGCCCUGCUUUUGUGGGGUUCUCGAUUGGCGAACGGGUGUGUAACACGUGAGUAUCCUGCCCUUGACUUUGGGAUAACUUCAGGAAACUGGGGCGAAUACCGGAUAGGAUCUCCUGCUGCAUGUUGGUGGUUGGAAAGUUUCGGCGGUUGUGGAUGGACUCGCGGCUUAUCAGCUUGUUGGUCAGGUAGUGGCUUACCAAGGCUUUGACGGGUAGCCGGCAUGAGAGGGUGAACGGGGACAUUGGGACUGAGAUACGGCGCAGAAUGCUACGGGACGCAGCAGUGGGGAAUAUUGCGCAAUGGGCGGACGCCUGAUGCAGAAGCGUCGCGUGCGGGAUGCCGGCCUACGGGUUGUAAACCGAUUUCGAAUGUAACGAAGAGUGAGUGACGGUAACGAGUAAAGAAGCACCGGCUAACUACGUG
rnacentral:rRNA from 1 species